ACCCUGUGUAGCGAGUGAAUCACACAUUAUAAACGCUACUAAAUAUCUAUUUUGUUUUCCAGUGUUAAACCAAAAGAAGUCCUGAGUCGACAAAGAUAGACGAACCCUCUUUUACAAAUAUGGUAACACCCGAAAAAGAAAACUUGUUUCCACCCGUGAGGAACAAUACAGAUAAAGACGGCCAAAAUGCACAG